rnacentral:rRNA from 1 species
CUACGGGACGCUCCAGUGGGGAAUAUUGCACAAUGGAGGAAACUCUGAUGCAGUAACGCCGCGUGGAGGAUGACACUUUUCGGAGCGUAAACUCCUUUUAUAUAGGAAGAAGAUGACGGUACUAUAUGAAUAAGCGCCGGCUAACUCCGUGCCAGCAGCCGCGGUAAUACGGAGGGCGCAAGCGUUACUCGGAAUCACUGGGCGUAAAGAGCGUGUAGGCGGAUUAAAAAGUCAGAAGUGAAAUCCUAUAGCUUAACUAUAGAACUGCUUCUGAAACUCUUAAUCUAGAAUAUGGGAGAGGUAGAUGGAAUUUCUGGUGUAGGGGUAAAAUCCGUAGAGAUCAGAAGGAAUACCGAUUGCGAAGGCGAUCUACUGGAACAUUAUUGACGCUCAGAUGCGAAAGCGUGGGGAGCAAACAGGAUUAGAUACCCUCGUAGUC